UGGAUUUAAAAUGUAAGGGUACAUGUCGUAUCCACGCCGACCCUCCGCGUUUGUUUUGGUUGACGGAUACGGAAAGGAUAUGAAGUCACGUUACUCAGACUACAACAAUAAAGGCGUUAACUUCCUUCUACAUUCAGAUAGACUCAAAUAAAGCAAAUAUAUCUAUUCUGGCAU